rfam:Brachypodium distachyon strain Bd21 chromosome 3, whole genome shotgun sequence.
AAAUUACUCCCUCCGCCCAAUAAAAAAUGUUUCAAAUUUGUCAAAAUUUGAAUGUAUCUAAACAUGACUUAGCGUAUAAAUGCAUUCAAAUUUAGUCAAAGUUGAGACACCUUUUGUUGGACGGAGGGAGUGCUAA